rnacentral:rRNA from 1 species
CCUACGGGGAGCAGCAGUGGGGAAUAUUGGACAAUGGGCGAAAGCCUGAUCCAGCCAUGCCGCGUGUGUGAAGAAGGCCUUCGGGUUGUAAAGCACUUUCAGUGGGGAAGAAAGCCUUGGGGCUAAUACCCUCGAGGAAGGACAUCACCCACAGAAGAAGCACCGGCUAACUCCGUGCCAGCAGCCGCGGUAAUACGGAGGGUGCGAGCGUUAAUCGGAAUUACUGGGCGUAAAGCGCGCGUAGGCGGUCUGAUAAGCCGGUUGUGAAAGCCCCGGGCUCAACCUGGGAACGGCAUCCGGAACUGUCAGGCUAGAGUGCAGGAGAGGAAGGUAGAAUUCCCGGUGUAGCGGUGAAAUGCGUAGAGAUCGGGAGGAAUACCAGUGGCGAAGGCGGCCUUCUGGACUGACACUGACGCUGAGGUGCGAAAGCGUGGGUAGCAAACAGGAUUAGUACCCUAGUAGUC